AUCGAACGCUGGCGGCAGGCCUAACACAUGCAAGUCGAGCGGAGCUGCGGACGGGUGAGUAAUGCCUAGGAAUUUGCCCGGUAGUGGCGGAUAACGUCCGGAAACGGGCGCCAUUACCGCAUACUUUCAGAUGAGUCUAGGUCGGAUUAGCUAGAUGGUGGGGUAAAGGCCUACCAAGGCGACGAUCCGUAACUGGUCUGAGUGGAUGAUCAGUCACACUGUGACUGAGACACGGUCCAGACUCCUACGGGAGGCAGCAGUAGGGAAUAUUGGACAAUGGACGAAAGCCUGAUCCAGCAAUGCCGCGUGUGUGAAGAAGGUUUUCGGAUUGUAAAGCACUGUGGGUAGGGAAGCGGUACCAACAGAAUAAGCAACGGCUAACUUCGUGCCAGCAGCCGCGGUAAUUC
rnacentral:rRNA from 1 species